UACGUAGGGUGCAAGCGUUAAUCGGAAUUACUGGGCGUAAAGCGUGCGCAGGCGGCUUUGCAAGACAGAUGUGAAAUCCCCGGGCUUAACCUGGGAACUGCAUUUGUGACUGCAAGGCUAGAGUACGGUAGAGGGGGAUGGAAUUCCGCGUGUAGCAGUGAAAUGCGUAGAUAUGCGGAGGAACACCGAUGGCGAAGGCAAUCCCCUGGACCUGUACUGACGCUCAUGCGACGAAAGGCGUGG
rnacentral:rRNA from 1 species